GAUGAACGCUGGCGGCGUGCCUAAUACAUGCAAGUCGUACGGAAAGGCCCUGCGGGGUAGUCGAGUGGCGGACGGCUGAGUAACGCGUGGGAACGGGCCCGAAAGUGAGGGAUAACGCACGGAAAGGUGUGCUAAUACCGCAUAUGGUCUUCGGAUUAACGCUUCGGCGCUUUGGGAGCUGCCCGCGUAUGAUUAGAUAGUUGGUGAGGUAAUGGCUCACCAAGUCGACGAUCGUUAGCUGGUCUGAGAGGAUGAUCAGCCAGACUGGGACUGAGACACGGCCCAGACUGCUACGGGAGGCAGCAGUAAGGAAUCUUGCACAAUGGGGGAAACCCUGAUGGAGCAACGCCGCGUGCAGGAUGAAGGUUUUCGGAUCGUAAACUGCUUUUAUCAGUGAAGAAUAUGACGGUAACUUAUGAAUAAGGAUCGGCUAACUACGUGCCAGCAGCCGCCGUAAUAC
rnacentral:rRNA from 1 species